AAGAUCGUACUCACUAGGAUCAUUUCUAUAGUACGUAUCCCGUCUUUGUUCUCCUACAAAGACAACCGCAUAAGCCACGAGGAUGACAUGUAGCAUCCUCCCCUGAGCGGGAAGCGCACCAGCACGACAGCGUCCAUGUUUGGAUGCAAAAGAGUGCUGGUGAUUGAUGACCGUUCUGCACUGUCCUUCUGGUCAGUGUGGAGGGGGAGGCUGCUUUAUGAGUGGC